UGAGCAACCUGCCCUUGACUCUGGAAUAACAAUUGGAAACAGCUGCUAAUACCGGAUACGACCUCCGACGGCAUCAUCUGGAGGUGGAAAGCUCCGACGGUCAAGGAUGGGCUCGCGGCCUAUCAGCUUGUUGGUGAGGUAACGGCUCACCAAGGCUUCGACGGGUAGCCGGCCUGAGAGGGCGACCGGCCACACUGGGACUGAGAUGCGGCCCAGACUCCUAGGAGG
rnacentral:rRNA from 1 species